GUCAUGGCGUAGCUGCCGAAGGUGAAGCCAGACUUGCGCCGGGGGAGCAAGACCCGCCUGGGAGGGCCGUGACCCUGGUGGAGAUUUGGGGGCACCUCAAGGCCCCAGGGGAGUCCCUGCGGCUCUUCUGCCGCACCUCCGGCUUCACCUUCAGUGACUACGGGAUGGGCUGGAUGCGCCAGAGCCCCGGGAAGGGGCUGGAAUAUGUGGCUGGGAUCGACGAUGAUGGUUACACUGAGUACGCGCCGUCGGUGCAGGGCCGGUUCAGCAUCCCCAGGGACAACGGGCAGAGCUCGGUGACGCUGCAGAUGAACAAC